UACGUAGGGUGCGAGCGUUGUCCGGAAUUACUGGGCGUAAAGAGCUCGUAGGUGGUUUGUCGCGUUGUUCGUGAAAACCGGGGGCUUAACCCUCGGCGUGCGGGCGAUACGGGCAGACUUGAGUACUGCAGGGGAGACUGGAAUUCCUGGUGUAGCGGUGGAAUGCGCAGAUAUCAGGAGGAACACCGGUGGCGAAGGCGGCUACCUGGACGGGUACUGACGCUGAGGCGCGAAAGCUAGGGGAGCAAACAGG
rnacentral:rRNA from 1 species